rnacentral:rRNA from 1 species
AACUGGGAUUAGAUACCCCACUAUGCCCUGCCGUAAACUUAGAUGUUUUAGUACAAAAAAUAUCCGCCCGGGAACUACGAGCGCCAGCUUAAAACCCAAAGGACUUGGCGGUGCUUCAGACCCCCCUAGAGGAGCCUGUUCUA